GGUGGCUCAGUGGUAGAGUUCUUACCUUGCAUGUAUGAGGCCCUGAGUUCAAGUCUUCAGCACCA
rnacentral:tRNA from 1 species